UCAUAAUUUAGUUAAUUAAUUAGAUUGUUAAAAUGAAUAUUACAAUUAAAAAUUCACUGACAAAGAAAAUGAAAUAAAUAACACUGAAUAAUUAUCGAUAAUUGUCAACAAACAUAAUUUAUCCAAAUACAAGUGACAAGUCCAAAAUAAAUAGAAAGUAUUGUAACAACAUAAAAUCCAAAUUUCAGCAACAUGUAGAAGACUAGCAGUUUAGAGACUAAUGAACCACGAUCAGUUCAUUUCCAGCAACACAGCGAAGCCAACAACGCUAAUCAGACCAAAAAAAAAAAAAAAAUUCAUUCUAGCAGUUUUAGUGAAGCAUACAACAAAUACCAAUCUAAGAAAAAGCUAAACGUGCAAAGAUGCACCAAUACCUAGGACAUGUUUUUGCAUCAAAGAAAAAAGAUGGCCAACUCCAACAAUACCCACCAUCUUCAUCAAAUUCCAACAUAGCAAGUGUAACAAGCUAAGUAACUGCACAAGUAAAAUAUAAUUUCAUCAAAUUCAAAGUCCGUGACAACGCAUAUAGAUUAUAAUAGUAGGCAAUAGAAUAAUAGCUAGCUGAUGAUAGAAUGGAAAUUUUUUGAAAUUCAUCAAAUUUGAUCUCAGCUAACAAAUUACCUAGGUGGCUAAUGGCUUCCCCUUUCAGGCCAAUGUAGUAGUGUAUCUAAGUUGUGUCACCCCUUAAAAUUGUUAGGGAAGUGUAUUGUGUAAAAUAGCUUUUGCAGCAUAUUUGAAUCAUAUCUUCAAAAAUCCUACAUCCUCAAUAGAACUUCAAAAGAUAAAAAGGCAUAAUCAAUCAACUCAACAAAAAUGUUUAUCUAAUUGUAAUGUGAAAAAGUCGUGCCAAUAAAUCAAAAGCAAAUCAAUAUUACAAGUAGAACUCAAUGAACAUAAUUUUAAUUCAAAAUGGAGACAUAGAACUAGAUUUCAAGUACAAAAGUCUAUGGUGCAAGGAUGAGGACUUUUACGAAGUCGACCAAACUUUCAAUGAAUGAUUCAAGGGAAUCAGUAACGAAUAGAUUCUGUGCAGCAAUAAAUAUUUUUCGAUCACAUACAUGCCAUCCACAUUUCAAACACACUUCUUGGAAACAGGCCAAUGUCUAGAUAAAAGGUGAACCAUAAAAGAGUAUACAAGUGCACAAAUUACCUUAGAAGAAUUCAGACGUUACUCCCAUGCUUUAAAAACUGACUUGACACUCCUUGGAACAGUCUCCUUUAAUGCAGACACCUAAAAAAACAAUCCAAUAAAAAAGAAAAAGGAAAAAUUACUAAAAGCAAUUAAAUGAAAUGAACUGGAAAAACAAACAAGAAGAAUUUCUUUUCAAUCCUUGACAAUGAAAUGAACUAAAAAUAGAGCCAACAACAGCUCAGAAGGAAGUAGCUCCCUGUUACAAAGCAAACAGGGCAUUUAUUCACAUGAAGCAGACCUUCACUCUGGACCUGUAAACGACCAUAACCCAGCCUGUCUACUGCAAAGUACACUAAAACAUGGUGGGGAAAAUUAUCCUAAAACAACUCCCUUGCAAUUACCACAGACGUUUUUGAAGCUCACUAAUGUGAUGCGAUGGAGCUUCUUUUACGAUAUGCACAACUUUUUGGUUUGGCUUUGAGCACAAUCAAAAUCCAAAGACAUCAGUGAGUAUGCCAAACUAAGCUAAGCAGAUAAGGCCUUUGCAACAAAAAUUGUACAGUAACUAAAUGCAUACAAAAACAGAAGCAUCAAGGUCAAGCUAACCUCAGAAGUAGCAUUAUUAUCUAUUGAAGUCUUUGCUUCAACAAAUUUCCAUGAAGCAGACAUGUUACUUUUCCUCAAAGAAUUAAGUAUUAAAAGGUCCAAAUCAACUGUGCUGGCUGCGAUAACAUCAAUGACAUAAACAUUGGUUUGAAUAAUUUGCCACAUAUAUAGUUAAUAUAAUUAAUAAUAGGAAAGCAUAGUUGUUGUAAGUAAGGUAAUACAAAUAACUUGUAACUAAACUCUUCACCAACACACACUUACAACUUUUGACAGUAGAGAUUUAAAGUACUGAAGUGCCAGUCUUUCUUUCCAAUGUAAUUUUGCACUAGUCAACUAAAUUUUUAACUAUAUAAAUAAAGAGAGUAACCAGGAUCUCUUAAUCUAAAUAAUAACAAUAAGAAAAUAAAAUGUAGCAACAAGCUACUUGCUUGCUAGAACCACUUGGAAUAUCAUUUCGAUCUAGCACAAGUAACAACAAUAAUUUUCAAAUAAGUGACAAAGAUAAAUAAAUUUCGAACAAAAACUAAUGAAAAUCUAAUGCUAUAUUACACAGGCAAAGUACAAUAUUCUAGUCACUCACGGAGCUAAUAUGGUGCUUUUAGAAGCUUAGAGUUGACGCUCAGUAACCAAAAAUAAAUAAAUAAAAUAUAUAACCAAAAAGCAAAAAGCACCAAUGCUAUGAGUAAAUUAGGAUUUUAUAGAAUGCAAUAAAACUAACAAUAGGUCAAGUCUAAAAAGUAAGCAAAAAUAAUUUUCAAAAAAAACCUAAAACAACCAAAUGUGAGAUAAAAGUUAGAUUUUAAAAUAUACAAAUGAAAAUGAAUGAACUAAAUAAUUAAUUAAUCGGAGAGAAUUAACCAGUUGAAGCGGAGGUGCAAAGCCGUCGGCCAACAAAGAAGAUCAACUGCACAAGAACUAAGAAGAAAAUAAUUGGAUCCCUAAUUUGAAGACUAAACAAAAUGUCAAGGUGAUUAGCCGCACAAGAUCAAAACCGAUAUCAUUCUAUAGGUUCAGGUUUUGUUCAUUUCAGCAAACUAGUACAUUUAAGCACAUAAAUUUUUGGAAACAAAAUCCAUUUUCUAACACAGUGAACAAAUUUUAGAUAAACCUUUAGUGCUUAGAACUACACCUUUAGUGUUGAAAUUGACAAGAAAUUUUAAUUAAAUUGACAUGCAAGAGAAAAUAAGGAGAAUAAUUACUUGUGUUAAUCGAAAAUUUGAGCUUAAUCUACGAUGGGUUUUCAGUUAGGGUUUGAAAUGCAACAGUGGUAGCACAUGUUCAAUGGGUUCUUCGUGUGGAUCUCGAUGAUGGCCAAAAUCGACGACGGGUGACAAGGCAAAAUCGACGCCGGGACUUGAGACAAAAUCGACGGUGUUACUGAUGCAAGGGUUUGAGGCGAUAGGUUGUUAUGAGAGUGAGACCGUGUGAAGGUGAGAGAUGUUUGAGUUUUGGCUAAACACUUGGGAAAAAAACCGAUCUGAAGUGUUUUGUGUUUAUUCAUUUUUAUUUUCUUUUCUCUAAAC
rnacentral:lncRNA from 1 species